UACGUAGGGGGCGAGCGUUGUCCGGAGUUACUGGGCGUAAAGCGCACGCAGGCGGUCUGCUAAGUUUGGAGUGACAGUUGGUGGCUUAACUGCCAAAGUGCUUCGAAAACUGACAGACUUGAGGGCUUCAGAGGGACACGGAAUUCCGGGUGGAGUGGGGAAAUGCGUAGAGAUCCGGAGGAACACCAAAGGCGAAGGCAGUGUCCUGGGGAGUACCUGACGCUCAGGUGCGAAAGCCAGGGGAGCGAACAGG
rnacentral:rRNA from 1 species